CUACGGGGGGCUCCAGUGGGGAAUAUUGCACAAUGGAGGAAACUCUGAUGCAGCAACGCCGCGUGGAGGAUGACACUUUUCGGAGCGUAAACUCCUUUUAUAUAGGAAGAAGAUGACGGUACUAUAUGAAUAAGCGCCGGCUAACUCCGUGCCAGCAGCCGCGGUAAUACGGAGGGCGCAAGCGUUACUCGGAAUCACUGGGCGUAAAGAGCGUGUAGGCGGAUUAAAAAGUCAGAAGUGAAAUCCUAUAGCUUAACUAUAGAACUGCUUCUGAAACUCUUAAUCUAGAAUAUGGGAGAGGUAGAUGGAAUUUCUGGUGCAGGGGUAAAAUCCGUAGAGAUCAGAAGGAAUACCGAUUGCGAAGGCGAUCUACUAGAACAUUAUUGACGCUGAGAUGCGAAAGCGUGGGGAGCAAACAGGAUUAGAUACCCUCGUAGUC
rnacentral:rRNA from 1 species